ensembl:lncRNA
AAUCAUCUGUGAAAUCUGUCUGCAGCCUUUCAAAAACAGGAAGUGUAACUGAGAUCUGAUAAAGACCCUCUCGAUUUCAUCUAGAUCACAUGGGCAUCAGUCAUCAGGUCGUGUCCCAUGAAGGCAAAUAUUGCUCAUCUGAAAAAAAAAAGAACCAGGAUAUUUCACAAAAUGAUGCCUUUGCAAUCAAGGAUGUCAUGCACCUGCCUCAGGUAACAUCUGGAUCUAAUAAACAAUCACAAUGUUGUUGUGCAGCUUUAUUGUGGGUAACACAUGCAGAAGGACGUCUUUGGCCUUUGGCCACAUUGCAUAUUUUCAGCAUCUUAAAUUGUUUUAGUCAUAAUACUGUCAUUCCAUGCAAACUGCUAUGUCAAGGUACAAACAGGUACAAGCAAACAAAAACACAUUGACAACAAAAAGUGUCUCAGUCUGCUAGUGGAGAGAAAAAGUAGUGCAAUCAGGCACAUCAUUUUAUGUUAAUGUACUGUAUAAAAUAAUUAAUUUAGUUGUUUGUAAUUUGUAAAAGUAACUUUCACCAACCACCUUAAAAUCGGUAUUAAUUAUUGCAUUUUUAAACCAUUGCAUUUUUUCAUGCAUUUAAAGUUACUUUCUCUCACUAUAGUCUCGCCAAGUGUUGCAUUUAACAAAAGGGUCUACUGAAUGAAUGAAUGUUGCAACUAUACGUUUGAGCGACAAACUAUGAAUCUGCAUAAAAACUAGUCAGCUGUGUCGUUCUCUUUUGGCAGAGUGUGUGUUCAUGCAUUUGAUUUGGUCUGAUUUCCUGAGCUUUAUAAUGCAGAGUCUUUGCCCACAAACCUCUACUGUGGCCCCAAUCACAGAGCCCACAGGAGUAUUUGGCCCUUUUAACCUCCUACAGCAAACCUCUCAUACUGAUAAACAAACCUCUCCAUUCUGCUACCCCAUAAACACACAUCGCUCUACUACUACACUGUAAAGACGACACAAUGCACCAUGAUCAAACAAAAUGACGCUUUCCUAUGUAUCCCUACAUACCAAGUGAGAAAAUUCAAGCAUGCCAAGCAACGUUUUUCUCACCCCGUAGGUCGAUUUUUUUUUUUGCACUGACUAAUAAAGGGAUGUUCACAUGCACCGUGAGUAUCGCAGACUGCGGACUGCAAUAUAGACCAGCUCAUCUUGUAUAUGAUGCUGCAUUGUUGUUGAAAACAAAAUGGUAGGAAUUUAAAAAUAUGUAUUUUACACAAAUAAUGGAAAAUAUGAUUCAAUAAGAAAUGUUUAUGGCUAGUAAGCUUUUUAAGUUGGUGAAAAAAUUUGAUAAAUAUUGUGAUAAUUGUUUGCAUCCUAGUUACACACCACUAAAUGUAUACUAGAGUAUCUCCUGAUUAGUGUAGAAUAAUAAACAGUCUUAUCAUAACGUAAACAAGCAAUGAGGCUAACACAAACAACCUGACGUCGUAUCUUAUAUAUGGAAAGUUACAUUACUGUGCAAGGACAGAUACAGAGAGAGAGAGAGAGAGAGAGCUGUUUCCACACACCCACGCUCAGGCACAUAUCGCAGUGGCGGAAACCAGACCUGAGACUAUUGUCACGAAAGCUUCAUGUUUGACACAAAUGAUGCAGAAUUCAGCUUGGUGCGUUAUGCAUGUGUCCUCACAGUCAAUUCCUUCGUUUGCGAGCAGUAGAGCUUUGACUAAAACCACAAACCCUGCAAACACCUGCCACCGUGAGACACACAGAGAACACUGACUAUCUGCUCUUUGGAUCAAACAUUUGUUUGAGAUGGUUCUGCGUGAAUAUUUCUCUCAUGUUCUCAACAAAACAAAAGAGAACAACUACAGCGAUUAUGACAUUUAGGCUGGGGAUUAGCUGUUGAACAAUAAAGUAUGAUCAAUGAUUUUGUCUACUAUUCACUAGAAUAAUAUUUAAGAGGAGCGUCUUAGUAAUACUGUCCUAUAUAGAAGUAAAUUGAACAACAACAACAACAACAAUAAUAAUAGUAAUAAUAAUAAUAACUAAUGUGUAUGUGUAUCUCUCGCGCUCUCUCUCUCUCUCUAUAUAUAUUUAUAUAAAUAUGUAUUUUUAAUUGUUAUAUUUUAAUAAUUCAUAUAAAUGCAAUUUCAAAUUUAAGUAAUAAUUUCAUAUUAAUUCUAAUUUAUAUAAUAAUAAUAAUAAUAAUAACUAAUGUGUAUGUCUAUCUCUGUCUCUCUCUCGCACACACACACACACACACACACUAUAUAUUAAUAUUAAUAUUUUCAUUUAUAUAAAUUAUUUAUAUAAAUGUAAUUUCAUAUUUAAGUAAUAAUUUCAUAUUAAUUGUUCUAAAGCAUAUAUAAUUUUUUUGCACUAAAAUCUUCC